UGUGGUAGCGCCAGAGUGGGAACUUAGACAUCCAGCCUUAAAACUGAUCUUUUAACCUCUGUGCUAUUCUGCUUCCAGAAGGAUGAAAUGAGAUCAUACAUAAAGAGCUUGGCCCAGCCGAGGAGCCGUCACCUAACCGUGCUCAGGAGUGCAUCAUGGUUGAGAGUGUGAGCUGUGGAGGUGAUGGGCAUCCAACGGCAUCCAAUUCUGCCCUGCUAGUAUUAUAUUUGUGCUUAGGCAGAAACCUUGGUUUUCUCAUCUGUGAAAAGAGGGUGAUACUACCAACCUUAUAAGGCUGUAGUGAAGAUUAGAGGAAGUAACAUGUACCAACGGCUUAUGACCGAGCCAGGCACAAGGCAGCGUUCAAUGAUGCAAGCAGAGGAAGCAGGGAACAGCUGGGGCUUCCUGCCCGUUUCCUCUGUCCUAACAGCUCCUUUUUGCAGACACUGGGAAUCAAAACCAAAACGCAUGCAACCUUCCACCUUGAAGAACAGCACCACAUCACCUCUUUGCUAAGCCUGAUUCCCGUUUUCUGGAUAGGAAACUGACACACAAAGUAUCUCCAGAAUCAUAUCAGAGGGACCACUUCAUCUUCUGCCAUGACUGGAAGCUUCCUGAGGCCCUCAACAGAAGCAGAUGCUGGCACUAUGCUUCAUGUACAGCCUGCAGAACCAUGAGCCAAAUAAAUCUCCUUUCUUUAUAAAUUA